GCAAUACUCGUGUUUGGUCUACCGAGGCACUUCAGGCUUUUGAAUUUCUUAAAACUACGUUCGCCUCUGCACCUAUUUUACAGCAUCCUGUCCCCUCUCUGCCCUAUAUUCUUGAAGUUGAUGCUUCGGAUAUUGGGGUAGGUGCUGUCUUAUCCCAAAGAGAGUCGCCUGAGAAGCCAUUGCAUCCAUGCGGCUUCUUUUCU